rnacentral:lncRNA from 1 species
UUUAGUUCCAGAGGGAGAAAUGCUUCCAGCAGAAGACACAGUACUUCUAUCGAACUGCACAUUGACACUAUCACCCAGCUCCAAGGGGCUCCUCAUAUGCUUCUGAAGUAACAGACAAGCAAGGAAGGUUUGAUGUUGACUGGCAUAAUUAAUCUUGACUGACAACAGAAAAGUGGACUAUUAUUCCACAGUGGAGAUGGAGUCUCGCUCUCUCGCCCUGGCUGGAUGUAGUGCAGUGGCACCAACUUGGCUCACUGCAACCUCCACCUCCUGGGCUUCAAGCAAUUCUCCCUGCCUCAGACUCCCAAGUAGGGAUUACAGGUGCACGUCACCACGCCUCACUAAUUUUGUAUUCUUUAGUAGAGAUGCGGUUUUGUCAUGUUGGCCAGGCUAGUCUCAAACUCCUGACCUCAGGUGAUCCACCUGUCUCGGCCUCCCAAAGUGCUGGGAUUAUAGGCAUGAGACACCGUGCCCGGACCAGAAAUUUAUUUUAAAUUCAUUAAAAUAGUUACUUAAACUCCAACAAGAUGACAUUUUUUCUUUUAUCCAUGAAUGUGAUUAAUUCUCAAAAUAUAUAUUCUAAUGUUAGAUCAUGUUGCAUUUUAGAUGUUUCCAUUUGUUCAUGUGUUUUAUAUUUUACAUGAAUGUACAUUCUAUCCAGUAAUAAUUUAUGAUGUUAUAAGUGAAUCUGCCACAGAUAUUUCUGUCAUGCUUUGUGAGAUUUUCACAUCCGAGUCAUACCAUAUUUAUAAAGAAAGAUCUGG